ACAGCCCUGUGGGUGCUUCCCAGUGCGUGCGGACAGGCAGAGCUGCUGGCCUCAACACAGCUGUGUCCCUGAGUCACUUAUGGGAUGAAGCCAGGAGGUUUGUUGGGUGGUGGUAGAGAGGGGACAGCAGGAGGGACAAGCUCAGAGCUGCCAUAGCCAGCGAGAGUGGGAAUAGUCAGUGGCAAAUCACAGCUAAACACUGCUGAAGAUAUCCUGAGAGCCGAUUCUGACCGCUGGUUUGCCAUCUCUUAUUUUAUUGUCCCGUUAUUUCCCAUUCAUCACCAUAACUCCUGCUUUGUUUCUAAACACCAAGGUAGAAGCAUGGAAUAACUUGGGUUGGAAGGGCCCUUAAAGAUCUUCCAUUUCCAACAAGGUCUUCAGAAAGUGUUUUCAAAUGUUAAAAUAUGUCUUGGCAAACGACUAUACCUAAAAUAGAGAGAAUUAACAUUCAUUAUAGAGGGUAAAAAAAAAAAAAAAAGGAAAAAG